ACAAAUAAUUUUACAAGGCAUGAAAUUAUCCGUGAUCAUUUUGAAGAUUAGUUAUUGUUCCACUGUGAAGAUAGAACUACGGAUUAUAACGUUUGCAAGAUUUUAUGUUCAUCCCAUUUUGAUGAGGUAUCUCAAGGGAACCGAUGGUUCUACAAUGUUUGUGAUCGGGGUGUUUUUAAUAUUGUUACUUCUUGAAGUUGGUUUAUGCGAUGAUCAGUUUUGCAAUGAAGUGUUCAAACCUUGCGCAGUUGGUACCUGUUGCAAGGGUCUCCGGUGUGGACGUAUUGGCAGCCAAUUCAUCAAAGUUUGCAUCGUCGAUUUAGCCCAAAGAAGACUGAUUAGCAAAUGGCACUGGAGAAAAUGACGCUUGUAAGAAAAAUAACUGAGUGAUAUUGUGGCAUAUAUACUUAUUUAUUAACCCAUAUAUUUGUAUAAGUUAAUACAGUUUUGUUACCCACA